CUGAGCUUCUUCAAAGCACUAGUUUCAGUUCCUUUUUCUCUGCUGUGCUUAUGAUUGUUCUACUGAAAAGAAUGAAAAACUGGUGGCACCAUAGUAUGAUGAUAGACUGGAUGUUACUCAUAUAAGAUGCUUGAAGAACUACAUUGAGCUGUGGUUGCCAAACAGUUUCAGAAACAACCUGCCAGCCAAGGGCAUUUAUGGAUGUCCAACCUAAUAAACAUUUUUCUGGUCUCAGCUCUGGGAUUGACAUGUGUUGCUUCACAAACAGCUGUGGCCCUUAAAUGUGCUUCACCCAGAAGCUGUCAGUGCUGAAGGGGAAAGCACAGGGCAGAAUGUGUGAAUGUGCUUCUGGGUUCAGUGAAAUGACCAAGAAUAAGAAAAGGGAGAUUGAGGGAAAGAUGAAAAGGAAAUCAAACAGC